rnacentral:tRNA from 1 species
GGAGGCGAACGAGGCCUGGUGGCCUCCCUGGUCUUCAAAACCAGUGCUGCGCCAACAGCGUAGGGUGGGUUCGAUUCCCAUCCGCUUCCGCCA